GGCUGCCAAAGGCGCGGAUUACGGCCGCGUCGGGCUAGGCGAGGGACGCAAAGUGCAAGUGGAGUUCGUCAGCGCGAAUCCGACCGGCAGCUU
rnacentral:tRNA from 1 species